AAAAACAAAAGUGUGUGAAAAACGAAAUGUAUUUUUAAGUUUUUUCAACAAAUUUUUCAUAAAAAUCGCCCGCAACACUUUCGAUACCAGACGUUUACCGACCACGAACGCGAGUGGAGCCAAAACAACACAGCACAGAUAAAAACGAAAACACCUCCCGUUAAAAAAAAAACUUAAAAAUAGCCCUGUCUCAGCGGCAGGUUGGUAGCAGCAGUUUUUAAUACGAAUAAAAAAAAAUCCCUUCGCAACUUUUAAAUUUUUGUUCCUGAAAAGUAGUAAAGUUCCAGUUCCUUCUAGCCAAAAUGUCGGGUGAUGUACAACCACGUAAACGCAAGGACAAGAAAAAGAAACGUGAAUCUCUUGAUGUGCGUAGAUCGGAAGGCGAAUUAAUUUUUUCACGCAAAUCUAGCUUACAAGAUGAUGAGGCUUCCCAUGGCGUACAUAUUACCAAAAUGGGCUCUGACGAUGUGCAUCUGCAUAUCCACGAGGAGCAUGGUACUGGUGGCAAUUGGUGUGCUAAGACGAUUUUCUUUUCUCUCAUGCUUUUACUACUGAGUGUAGUAUGUAUCAUUAUAAUGGAAAAUAGGGGCAUAUCAGAUGUGGAUACACCGUUAUCGGAGUCCAGAUUUUCAAAUUAUUUCGAUGGCUGGGUCGAUGAACAUCGUGCUGAACAUGAUGAUCAUCAUGAUAGUCAUGGCUCUUUAGAGCAUGAUGACGAUCAUGACGAUGAACACGAUGAGGAAGAUGAUCAUGAUGAACCUUUUGAAGAGGAAGCCGAUCAUUCCGAAGGCGACGAAGAAAUAGAAGAGGAGGAGGAAGAAGAUGAAAAUGUUACACCAGAAGAAGAGGAUGAAGAUCAAGAUGAUAAUGCAACAGCUGAAAAUGUAACAGCCGAAGAAGAAGACGAGGAUGAAGAAGAAGAUGAAGAAAAUGUUACAGCUGAAGAGGAUGUAGAUGAUAAUAUCACAGCUGAAGAAGCUGAUGAUGAUAAUGUAACAGCCGAAGAUGAGAAUGUCACUGAAGAGGCUACCAUGGAACAAAAUGAUGAUGAUGAAGACGAUGAAGAGGAUGUUAAUAAAACCAAUGAACAGGAUGAUGAAGAUGAUAAUGUGACCAAAGAAACUUCGAAGCCUACCUCACAAGAUGUACAAGAUGAUGACGAUGAAGAAGAUGAUGACGGCAAUUUCGAUUCUUUGGAAAAAAUUGUCGAUAACGAUGCCUCCGAAUUAGAGUUAUUAAAAGAGAAAGCUCGCCAACAGGCCGCCGCUGAGUCGUCUAAACAAAACGCCGCCUCAGCUGAAAAUGAUCUUGAGGAUGAAGCCGAUAAUGCUCCCUCAUGGGCUUCAUCAAUGGCGGUUAAAAUUGGCGUUGGUUUGGCUCUAGCCUUAGUAGCACGUCUAGUAUUGAUUAGGAAAAAUCCGAUUUCAAAUGAAGCUCCAGCUCCUGAAAUUUUAAUGAAACGUCGUUUAACCAUUGCCAGCCCCGAUGAGCUUAUACCCGAAGAUGUUGAUAAUGCCGCCGAACCUUUGCCCGAAGAAGAUUAUUCCGAAGAAGAAAUUGAAAUCGAAGAAGAAAUCGAAUAUAUUGAAGAGGAAAUAGAAACCGUUGGCGAGGAAAAUCAAGUUGAUGCAGGUGACAAUGAUUAUGUACCCGAAACUUUUGAACAACUCAAUGCCAUGUACAGACCAAAAGAUUACAGAGAUGAGACAGAACAAAAAAUCGAAAUAAAGCCAACACAAUCCGAAGCAUAUUCGUAUCAAUCUCCUUAUAACACACCUUUCAAUAGCAAUAACAAUAGGAACAAUAAUAACACCUCAAGAUUUAGUCAAGACGACUCACCAAAGACUUCCGAAAGAUCUACGAAUAAUGGUUAUAAUAACAAUAAUACACAAAAUCAAAAUCAAUUUAAAACUACGAUGCCAGUAUUUGAGGCACCACCACCACCUCCCCUGGUAGAGGCUAAAAUUGAUAUGCCAAUCAAGUAUUCACCACCCAAGGAGACGGCCGCAGUUAAACCAGAGACAUCAAAUCAAUCUUUAAAAAAAGAUAUAACCUACGACAUGGACUAUGAAAAAGUCGAAAAGGAUAAACCACUAGAUGAAUCGAAAAAGGAAAUAGCACAUGAUAUGGAUUAUCAACCUGAUUCAGAAGAUAUUGAUUAUGAUGAAGAUGAUAUCUACGAUGAUGAGGAGGCACAAGAUGAUGAUUCCGAAGAUUCCGACGAUCUAUUAGACGAUGACGAUGAUGAAGAUUUGGAGGAGGGUGAUGAUGAAGAUGUUUCCGAUGUUGACGAUACCGAACUAAUGAAUAGACUUGAAGCCAAAUAUGGCAAAUUACCAGCCAAAGAAUAUGAAAGCGAUGAAGAUCCAGAUGAUCCCACUUGGACACGUAAUUACUAAACAAAUCACUCCCCCCGUCCCCCUUACAUGUUCUAUAAUUUAAUUAUUUCGUUUACAUAAUCAUUUAAAACACAUACGUACACACAUACGAACACUGUGUAUUGUACUGUAAAAAUAAUCAUCGAUUCAUGAGAAAUUGGCCUCAGGAGAGAAGGAUUGAAAUUUAAACUCAUCUUUGAAACACUCAUACUCGUAGAACUCAUUAAUUAACACACAAUUUAGAAUAGAUUUUUAAGUUAAAUAUAAAAUAAAACCCAAAACCGGUGGUGGUCCACAAUCAUUAGAAGAUGAUGAUGAUAUUGAUUUAUUUGAACAAGAAUUACGAAGAGCCAAUGAAGAGAUGAUGCGAGAGUUUAACUAUCAUUAGAUUAUAUUAUCCUUCCUCUACUUAUUUUACUUACUUUCUCUAUUUUUGUUUAAAUUAAACCUAAAUGCAUUAGCUUUAAAUUCAUUUUAAUGCGUUUUCUGUUUUAGUAGAUUUUAAGAUUUUAAUUCGAUAACAAUUUUAAUAAAAACAAAAAACAUUUUUUUAUAAGGAAUUUUGAAAAUGAAAAAUCUACAUUAGUAGUUUUGUAAUGAUUUAAUUAGAAUUUUAUCAAUUUUUCAUUUCUUCUCUUUUUGCUGUGUUGCAUUUUUGUUUUCGCUUUUUUUUUUCAAAAUUAACUUGAGAUUUGUGAUUUAAAUUGAAAUGCCUCAAAUUCUUAACAGAACACCCACUUUAAUUUGUUUCUGAUUUGUGGUUGAAGUCAUAAAUCUUGACUUAAUUUUGUCCUAAAGAAUGUCCUUUAUUAUUAAAAACUAAUCCAUAUGCAUUUUUAUUUUUAUUUAAUUUAUUAAUUUAUAUAUAUUUUUUAUUUGCCUUUAAUAUUUUAUCGCUUUUAUUUAUUCAUUUAUUUUAUUUUGUUUGUUAUGAAUUGCUGUUAUUGUGCUUUAUCUUCUUCCUCAACCGCCCCACAACCACACCCACAAUCCUUUUUCCCUACUUUCCUCCUUCCAUCAACACUAAAGCAUUAUGAAGAUGCCUUGAAAUCCUUUGAUCGUCUAAUACAAACUUAUCCCCAUCAACCGCAAACGUAUUUGGGUAAAGCUCAAACUUUGGAUCAAUAUGCCGAUCAACGUAAAGAUAAUCGUAUGCUAAUGGAGGCCAUUGAAUAUUAUAAAACUUAUUUGGAAUUCGAUGUUAACGAUGAUCAACUUUGGGAAUAUCGUUCGGCAGGCGAGCGUAGUUUACAAAGAUUAAGAUUUAUGGGUCACUAUGCACAAUGUCUACCCAUACAUAAUAUACUUAUAAAAAAAUUUCCUCGGUUACCUUCUGUUAGGACUCAAUUAGCCAUCACCUACUUAAUGAUUGAUCGUUUAGACUUUCAGAUGCUAAGCAAGUACUUCGAGAAACUCUUAAACUUUGGCCCGACGAUGGGUUAGCAUUGGUGCACUAUGGUUUUGUAUUAAAACAAUUGGAUCAUGAUUAUCAUAAUGCAACAAUAUAUCUACGUCAAGGAAUCGAGAGUGAAGAGGAGGGAACACAAACUGGCAUAUUCUAUUUUCAAUUGGGAGAAGCCCUACAACGAUUGGGAAAACAGAGUGAAGCUGUUAAAGUUUUUCGUAAAGGUGUUAGUUUGAAAUUAUUUCCCAGUGUUUUUCAAAGAUCUCUCUAUAAUGAGCCCAACUUAAAGGCUCAACCUUUCUGGUCGGCAAAAGAAACCACUUAUGAAAAGUUUUUUAAAAAAUUACAAGACAAUUGGUUGGCAAUAAAAGCUGAGGGCUUAAAUAUUCUUAGUAAAAUCGGUUAUUAUAUGAAUGAGUCGGAGAAUCUGAAGAAUAAAGGUGAUUGGAAACAAUUCGAGUUGUAUGCUAGAGGAGAACAGAGGCGAGAAAACUGCCUCCAGGCGCCCAUAACUUGUAGUUUAAUAGAACAAUUUCCAGCCGCACGUGGUUGUCGCCGUGGUCAAGUAAAGUUUAGUGUUAUGCAUCCGGGCACUCAUGUUUGGCCUCACUGUGGUCCCAGCAAUUGUAGGCUAAGAGCCCAUUUGGGUUUGGUGGUACCUAGUGGCACUCGUAUAAGAGUGGCCGAGGAAGAACGCACUUGGCAAGAAGGAAAAUUUCUAAUAUUCGAUGACAGUUUUGAACACGAAGUCUGGCAUGAGGGUCAAGGUAUACGUUUAGUACUUAUUGUCGAUAUAUGGCAUCCAGAACUUAGCGAACAUCAACGUCGUUCCUUAUUUCCUAUUUAAAGUCAUGUUUUUAUUAUUAUUAACUAGCAGUUUAUUAAUUUUAUUAUAUUUAUUUUAAUAUUUUUAUUAUAUUUUUUUUGUAUUAACUUUUAAUAAAAUGUUUUUGUAUCUCAAGGGUUUGUAAUGCUAAAAUUGUAAAAUAUAAAUUAUUGUUAAAAUAUUAUUUUUAAGUAUCAAUUAUUGUAAAAACGCAGAAAAACUUUAGUUUCAUAAUAAUUCAAAUAAAUCAAAGAAAGACAUUUCAUUAAA